rnacentral:lncRNA from 1 species
AAGGAUUUUAAGAACUCUAUCUCAGGAUAAAGACCUGAGGGUCACAAGAUGUACAUUGCUGGCCUCAGCUGGAUUUUCCCAGGGUCAGGUGCCCAUUCCUACCUAAUCAAAGGACACUUCUGCUGACCUGCACCUAGAAUACCCUGUUCUGUGCUGAUGACUCAGAUGUAAGAAUGAUGAAGUGCAUCGGCUGGCAUGCAGAGAACAAUAAGAAAAAGAACUGAGUUGUGGGAAGACAUGAGGAAAGGACAUGAGGCUCUUAAUAACAGCUGCCAAGUACUGCAGUCGGGAAUCUGGAGCAAAGUGAUUCAAUUCUGACCACUGCCUGUGAGUAAAUGGGAUUUUAUUUUUCAAUACUUUUGUUUAAUAGUACCUCCUUCAUUACAUGUGAACAGCACUCCAGGACAGUAAAUCAUGAAAUGGGAAUAAAGCCUGUAAUUUUAAUUAACAUAUUUUAAAAUGUUUCUAAUUUGUAUGCAUUUGAUCAAAUUUUCAUUUGCAUUGAGCUAUUUUUUUUCUUUCUCAUGUAAUGUUUGACAUUACCAUUUCUUUCUUUAAUGAAAUACUAAUAUUUAAUAAAAUAUAUUACAUCCUUAA